rnacentral:lncRNA from 1 species
AUUUUGCAUUCAAUUAUUAUUAAAUGUUUUUCUUCAUAAAAUAACCAAGCAUUAUAUUAAAAUAUGAAAUAAACAGCUGCAAAUUUCAAGUUAAAAAGCACAAGACUGAAGUUUCCUUCAUGGCUCAGCAGAAAUGAAUCUGAGCAGCGUCUAUGAAGAUGCAGGUUUGAUCCCUGGUCUCACUCAGUGGGUUAAAAAUCCGGUGUUGCUGUGAGCUGUGGUGUAGGUCACAGAGGCGGCUCGGAUCUGGCAUUGCUGUGGCUGUAGUGUAGGCCAGCAGCUGUAGCUCCGAUUUGACCCCUAGCCUGGAACCUCCAUAUGUCAUGGGUGCGGCCUUAAAACGCACCCCCCCCCCCAAAAAAAAAACCCCAAAACAAAAAACCCAACAACAACAAAAAAGACCAUUUGGAUACCUUCCUUGAUAACAUAGGUUAACGCAAUUUGACCAAAUUUAUGGACAUGUUUGAUAGAAUGCCUCAUCUAACUCACUCUGAAAUAUUUAUAUUAGUGUUAAAGCAUCCCUAGGAAUGCACUUAACUUUAAUAACUCGGUAUGUCGAGACUUCAUGGAAACCAGCUACAGCUGCAAUAAGAAUGUCACUUUCUCAUUGGUCGGUGGCUUCCCUAAAACACCACCACAGAAUCCACCUUUCCAUAGGCAGAGCUACAUACGGAAAUCCUCAAGUCCAGGGCCUGAAGCGAGAAGCACGUCCUCUUUCUCUGGGGCCCAUGUUCUCUUCCUGCCCACCCACAAGUUUGGACUCUGAUGAUUGACAGGCCCUCUUCAGAUCAUCUGACUAUGAGUCUAUGGCUGUGCUUUCCUGGAACUUUCCACAGUUUUUGCAUUCACUUCUGAGUGAGAAAGGGUAAGAGGAUCAUUAUUAGAUCUCACAUCUCUUGUGCAUUCUAGUCUCCACUCUUCUUCACAUACCUUCUCUCUCUGGGUCCCACUGAUCACGUUGCAUGUCCUUUGACGAAGGGAGCUCUGGGAAGGAAGGUUACACCUUUCUUGUGUCCAAGCCCAUGGCUGGCAUGACCAGAUUCCUACAUGUGAACCCUGAACACCUAAUGAUCUACCUCAAGUACUGUGGUGAAGGGCUCUGGACAAAAAACCUGAGGGCUCCUCAUUUGUCAUUACAUGACUUGUAUCACUCACUGUAUUAUGUGUUGAAAAUACAGUUUAAAGACAUUGGUCUGCUGUUAAGUAAACCAUGCUCUGUUAGGGGAUAUCCACUUGUAAGGUGACAAUUACAGUGAAGAAGGCAAGGUAAAGUCCGAGGAACUAUUGGAGCACGGCGGAGUUUUACUAAGAACUGCCUUUUCUUACCAAUCUCAUGGGUUGUUGCUGGGGCAAAACUGUAGAAGGGAUGUAAAAGCACUUAGUAACUCUAUAAAGAGCCAUACUGUGGUGACUGCAAAGCAUAUGGAGUGGCAGUGGAUGGGGACGAUCCUGCUACAACUGUCCUGUGCAUGGCUCCCGGAAGUUUCAUUGGAUGUGAAAAUAUAUCCAGAUGUCUAGCACUUAGAGAUGGUGCUAGUUCCGCUUCACAACUUCUGAAAUAGGAAGAGCAGCACAGAGAAGAAAGGAGAGCAGAGGAGCCUUGGGUAUCCUAGGUCUAUGCCCACAGCAGCAGAACCUCCUUUAGUCCUGAAGGACUGGAAAGUAAAAUCCUUUCAGGCAGGUCUGGUCCCAGCACCUCUCUCUGCUGGUCUUCCACUCCAGCAUCUCAGAACAUGGUUCUUCUCUGUGUCUAACCUCCAUUUCUCCUGCUUUAUCAGAUGGUCAUUUCCAGAUUUAGUUGGAAGAGAAAAUAAUUACAAGCUUUCUCUGAUAUCUCUUCAUUCAGCCGCUUUGAGAAGCUGGGACAGAAGAGGGGAGGUGAUGUAAGAAAUGUUCUAUGUGCUUAUUGUCCAUCCAUUUACCCACAGAUUAUUCACAUUCCUUGUUAGUCACAGCACAGCUCCCCCCCCCCCCCCCAUUCGCUGUUCCCCUCGAUGUAACUCCUGCCUCUCCCUUUCUCACUCUGGCAGUAUUGCCCAAUGAGUGGGUGAGUGCACAGAUGCUCCAGCCAUGCUGCCUAGACUUGAGUCCUAGUUCUGUCCCUUCUUCCCUGUUUGGCCUUGGGAAAGAUGACUUGAAUGCUCUAUGCCUCAAUUUACUCAUCUGAGAAGUAGGGAUAACCAUGUUUCUUAGUCCACAAAAUUAGAAAUAUUAAAAAAGGUAGUAGAGGAGUUCCUGUUUUGGCUCAGGGGUAAUGAACCCAACUAGUAUCCAUGAGGAUGCGGGUUUGAUCCCUGGCCUCGCUCAGUGGGUUAAGGAUCCGGGAUUGUGGUGAGCUGUCUCAGAUGCAGCUCAGAUCCCGAGUUCCUGGGAUUGUGGCAUAGGCCAGCAAUUCCAGUUUGACCCCUGGCCUGGGGACUUCCAUGUGUCCCAAAUAUGGCCCUUAAAAAAAAAAAAAAAAAAAAAAAGUCAUUCUUAGAAGAGACAAGGAGUAACAUAAGCAAGAUGGUAGAGCAUUUUCUAGUGCCCAUACCCGCCCAGAAACAGCCAUUUGAACAGCCUCAGUGGCUCCUGGCAGAUCCUGUGACAAGAGGCUUCUAGUGGACUCCAGUGAACCCAGGUUCCUAGACCACCCCAGAGCAGACCAGCUCUCCUAACUCCAGGUGAAUCUUGUGCCCCCAGCUCCCAACCAGCCCCAUGAAUCUAAGCUCCAGGAAGGCUCCUAUGAACUCAGGCUUUAGCUGGGUCCAGCAGCAGGCAGACUACCACAUCCUAGGCCCCCACCCCACUCCAGUGCCAGGCUGGCCCUCUGCAGACCUAGAUUUUAGAUCACCUGCUACCUGGCCAGCUCCUGGCCUGCUCCAAUGCCAGAUGACUUCCCUCGGACCCAACCUUCAGAUUAGCCCCUGUGGCCUUAGGCUCCAGGAUCACCCUAGGUCUAGGCUAAUCCCCGUGUCUCCAGAGUCCAGGCUAGCUCCCACAAAAACAGGUUUCUGGUCCAGUAUCUGACUGGUCUUUUGAGACCCAGGUGAUAGGCUCAUCACACUGGUACCUGGAACCUGUUGGCCCCUAUGGUCCCAGAGGACAGGUCUUCCUAUGUGGACCCAGGUCCCAGGCCUACCACCACAAACUCAUGCAUCAGACUCACUCCAGUGAACCCAAAGUCCAAGCCAAAUCCAUGGAUUUGAUCCCUGGCCAGGGAACUUCUAUAUACUGUUAAGUGUGGCC